CCCUGAGGACCCCUGCAGAACAGAUUCCCUCAGCCCAGCUCCAGACUCCCUAGGAGUCAGCCCUCAGACCCCACACAGAGAGCUGAGCAAAGGCAAGGGGCAAGCCAAAGAGUCUGGAGCAAGCCUGCCACUCCCCACUGUGUGACUGGGAAGGUGGACACCCAUGUCUCUGUGACAUACACAGAAAGCCGCAGAGCUCAACUAAACUAACAUGGUGCCCCUCAAAAUGCCAGAAAGGUAAAAAACAAAAUGGAUGUCCCAACAGCACUCAUUUUUUGUGUGACUUCGAUGGAACUUGUUACUGGACCCAAGGACUUCUGUGAGAUCAGGCUUCAGAGUGCAGAAAAGACUUCUUGUUCCUCUUUUAGGAACUAACGCUCUGCUAGUGGAGAAAGAAGAAAACUCAAAAAGCAGCAACUGAUGCGUGUUCGGGGGUGGGGGUGGGGUCUGUGAUGUAAGCACAUGCUGGAACAUACAGAGAGCCACAUUGGAGGACAGGACACAAGGAAAGACCAGCAUUUCCUGUCCCCAGCCCCAUCAGUAUCCAUAUGGCUACUACUGAGUUUCAUUCUUUCCUCCAGGACUUUGUGGGUUUCUCCCUUUGGGACCUGUCUGUGUGGACUUAGGUCUUCUAAGAAGCAAGCAAAGGAUUUACUGGGGUGGGGGUGGGGGGUCACUGGGAAGGAGGGAGGAGAGGGGAACAGGAUGGAUAGGAAGGCUACUGACACUGGUGAAAAGAGCAAGGAGAGGGGUUGGCAAGGAAGAAGCUGAGGCUGCAGCCAGUGCCUGGGGAGUCACUGCAAGCUCCUGGGGCCGUUGCAAGUCCCUACCUCAUGGGAUUGAGCCAGCCCCAGCACCAAAGCACCAAAGCUAAUGGCCUAAAAGCAACCAGAAGUCCAGGCAAGGGUCAAAUACACACACACAGGGGUGCCAGGACUGGGUAUCUAUCCAGCCAUUGCUCUGGAAGGAGACCUCAGCCCAUCCUUCAUCCUCCAUCCUCCAUCCUCCUCCCUCCCAAAUUGUUACCUUAAUGUCAGUGAGCAUCUCACUGGGGGUUGUCUACCUGUAAAGGCUGAGAUGCAGUUGGAAUUUCUUACCUCAUUCGAUCCUUUUCAAUAACCAUCUAGAUGAUGAUUAUUAUUAUCAUGGUUACCUCCAUUUCAUAGACAAGGAGCUAAAUUUCACAUCCACUGACUCUCUUGCUGGGGGUCACAACUCCCAAAUGGAACGGCACCCUGGACUGUAACCAUUGCUCUAAGUUACCUUGGCCAGGAAAAGGUACAAAAAGGGAAUCUGAGCUGUUCCUUUGCCUCUGUGCACCCAUAUCCCCUAUUACUUAUUCGCCAAAGAAAGUCUCCUCUGGUCUCCUUUGGGUCUGUGUCUACCUAUCUCCAGGCUGGCCUGCUGGUCUGCUCCAAGCAAGACACCCAAGAAUGUUCACCAGAAGUAAGCACUGUCCAACAUCUGCAUGUCUGUCAUUUUCCUAAGCAUGCCCUCCUCCAGGAAGCCCUCCCUGGCUUGCCUGGGUUUCCAUAGUCCCCUUUACACAGAGCGUACCAAAAUCCUGUUACCUCUGUCAAACGCCGGAACUCAGCCUUUCUAGAACCAAAGCUAAGUCUAAAUCCAGAGUGUGGGUGCUCACAGAGGGAAGGCUGGUCCAGGACAACAAAAGAACACCUUUGGAAGGCAAGGGACCCUUGCUGUGGAAAGCAUGACCUUGGCCUGUGGAGGCACAGCCUGCAGUCCGGGGCCUGACCACCAGGAGCCUCAUGAUCCCCCAGGCAAUGCUGAGGCUGACUCCUCUCUUCCCGGAGGCAAGUUAGGCAAGUUAGAGCCUCCACCCCAACUUUCCUGCGGGAAGCCAGCCCAGGCCUCAGCAUCUGCUCAGCUGCCAGUGGCCCAGUGGGUAGCCCCAGCUAAGGAGGAGAGUUAUUUUUAUUUAUUUCUUCUUAAUCAUGAACUUAAUUUAGCUGCUAAUCAGGUUACCAUGGUGAUUUGCACGGGAUUUACAGCAGUUUCCUAACGCGCCUUUUUUUCUCACUCUUUUAGUUAAGGAGUAAAAUUUGGGCGCUGCGAGAGCGACUGCCUACUGAAUGUCCUAGAACAAGGUCAGCCGUGUGGGUUUCUCAGUUUUCUUUCCCCCUCUUGCCUCGUGUGCUUAAGAGUCUGCCGUGACUCUGGGCAGACCCCAGGUACUUCUUUUCUGCCCUUUCUCCAAAAAGCUUCAAUGGGCCCUUGUUGCCAGGGUGAGGCUGGAACCAGGUGAGGGUUUUCAAGGUCCGCCCUCCUUCCUCACAUCCCAGAUUCUCCCUGGCCUUUUAUGUGUUCCUCUGUAUCUUUGUUUGUUUGUCCCCCAGGCCUGGAAUAUCUUUCUCAGACAAAUGAAAGCCUUUCGUUCUCUGGAAGAGUUUCAUUCCUACCCUGUGCACUGGGGGAGCUUCUGUCUGGGGUCACCAUAUCCCAAGGCAUUAGCUGGAAAUACAUCUGAGCACCGACUCUGACCCUGCCACACUCUGGCAUGGAAGGGGGUAUUGUACCAGCCAAUGCAGGGGAGCAGGGCAGGGAGGCCGUAGGGGGAGAAGUCUAAGAACUGGCAUCGUGACAGCUUGCUGUAUUCUGCUGUCUGGAAGUCCCAUUUACAUUCCAUCCAAGCACCUGAGGAAGAGGGAGAUUCAACUCAUGCCCCCUCUGUCUCACCUAGGGGCUCAGAAGCACUCCUUUCUGGGACAACUAAAUGGAGUACCCUGCCCCAUCCCCCAUGGGAGGCUCCCGGAAGGGACAGCGUCUCCAGAUUGGAGACCACAAUUUCCAGGAUCUCCCUGAGGACCUCAGGGCCAGCUGCCAAUCAGACCUGGGAUCAGCCACAGUCCAUUAGUGAACGCCCCCAGUGCAAGGCGCCAACACAGCCCCCCAGGCAUUGGCGCCAGAGGCUGCCCAGGGAACCCAAAGCCACCUUCAAUCAUUAUCUUGGCUUUUGUCACCAGACAAACUGGACCACGGACUAUAGGUUGUUUCCUAGGUGAGCAACUCCUCUGGCUUCUGCCCCAGCUACCCUGCUAUCCCUUGGUGUUGGAUGUGGGUGUAGCCCCUAUGGGAGGCCUGGCACCUCUGCAGCAUCCCACCUACUGCUACUGAGGCAGUGUGAGUUUCUAACUUGCUAUCCUUCUCUGAGUCAUCCUUGUCUCCUCUCGAAGAUGGGUAGCAGUAAGAAGAGAUGUCCAGGGUUUGAUAACCAGAGCUGCAUGGAGUCACAAGAACUGGGAUCCCAGACAGGCUCUGAGCAUAUUAUGUGACUUUUUCCUCAAGUUUGAGACCCUGAGAAGUGAGGUUCACAAACCAAAGCACUUAUGUCGGUGACAAGAAAGGAAUUGCCUGACAGGCCAAGUAAGCACUGAAUGACUGAAGCCACUCUGGCAGGCACGGCUGCCCACUGACUCCAGACCCCAUCCCUCCAACCUGUAAGGGAUCCUGGUCAGAGCAAACCUAACCCAGUAGGCAUAGGGAUGAGAGCCUAGAAGGACAGAGAAGUCCAGACACAAGUGCCCAAACCUGGGGAGAGUCUAGGAUUCUAAUCCCAGACUCUAACUCAGUGAGGCAUUUACUAUUUGAUCUUCGGCAAGUCACUUAACUUCUCUGGGAUUCUGUUUCCUUUUCUAGGUAUGUAAAACCCCACCUAAAUGAAGAUUGAACUUUUUAUUCUCCAGCCCCACCAACCACACCCAGACUUUUCCACUGUUGAACCAGUAGUAAAGGGAGAAAGGGCGGCUAGGAAAGGUGGGAGAAGAGUGCAGUACCUGCUCUGGCCACUGGGGGCGGACUUACUCCACCUUGUGUAUAUCUAAACUACAGGUAACAAGGUUCUGGUUUAACAAACACCCAGCAUGGAUAAAGGCAGGAAGUUCCUCCUUUGACAGCUCAUGGGUUGUACAGCAUUGUACCUAACAACACAGGCUCUGAGCGUGAUGCCAGAGUUCAAAUCCCAGGUCUGCCUCUACUACCUUGGUGGCCUUUGAGCAAACUGUCUACUCUGCCUAUGUCUCCACUUCCUUCUAAUGGGAACAAAGAGCAGUGGCCUUACCAGGCCAGUGAGUACCUGCACACUGUCCAGUGAUGUGCACCAAGCAUUUCCCCAUCUGCAACUUCUCAAUGUCAUCAUGGUAACAGUCCAGGGUACUGAAAGGCAGAGAGCUGAAACCUCUCACCUUGGGCCUGCUCACUCAAAGCCAGUGCCUUUGCCAGCAGCCCCUGCCCAUCCCCGCUUCUGCUCAAUAUGAUCGAUGUUCUCAACUGACUUGUUUUGCAAAACAAGUUCAUAUAGCAAUGGAAACAGAGACAGGAGUAGGAGUUAAUUAAGGGCAGGGUGAACCACACAUCGAUCCUAACAUCGUUAAAAGAGAGACAACCAGACUUUAGGAUGUGAUUCAACAAGGAGAACGCAACACCAUCUCCUAGGGCUUCCAGACAAAGAUCGAAUAUGACAGCACCCUAGUUCCCCACUUCUGGGAAGCACUGGGAAUGGGGGAGCCCACAGAACAGCACCAGGAGGGGGCCAUCAGCCACACCCACAGGGAAGGUGGCAGCAAGACCCAGAACCACUCAGAGAUAAGCAGAAGUCUCAAUAGAAACUCACUAUAGUUUUUGAAAAAGAAAUACGUGACAUUUCUCUUAUUCUCAGUGUGGACUAUUAGAAGGGAGUUUAAGAAGCACAUCCAUUAAAUGCAAUGGCCGAUGACACGGCCCAAACACACAAAAGGCAAAAAUAUAUUUUUUGAGAAAGUUUGGAAUAUUUAUUGAAUAUUGAGCGUUGGAUAUGGAAAGAACUGUUGUUGUUGUUGUUGUUGUUGUUUUUACUUUUGCUAAAUGUGAUGUUGAUAUUAUAUAUGAUCAUGCUAGAAGAAAUUCUGAGUCAUAACCUGUUAGUUAUAGCUUCUAAAAUAUUCAGGUAUAAAAUGAGCCAGUGCCUAGGAUUUGUUUCCAACAUUCAGACAAGGGGCGGGGAAACAGGCAGAGGGUGAAGACAGAUCACCAAGUAGGAGAAGCUACAGACUCAAGGUUCAGGAGUGAGCAUGGUGUGGCCCCCUGAGACAGAGAAGACUGGAAGGCCUCUCAAGCCCUUGGCCAUUCAAGGAGUAGCACUUCCCUUACCUAUUCUCAGGCUCCGAGGGAAAGCGAACAUUUGCACACAGCCCAGAAACUCAGUUGCUCAUUCGCUCACUUGCCCACUCCUCAAUUCAUCUACCCAUCCAUCCUCUAUGUGUUCAGUCAACACACCUGCUUGUUGGAAAGCAUACUUGUGAGAAAUGCAGAACGGGUCAUCCUGGCACUGUGGCACUGCUGGGGUAGAAGGGAGAGCCACAAGCUUGUUGAAUCUACCCUUGUGAAACCAAACCUCAACAAAGCAUGAGAAGUCUAAAUAAAGAUGGGUAUGAGCCAUGUUGGCAUUUUACAUGAAGGGGGUGACUUGGUCUGGCCUGAGGGGUGCCCAUGGACACUUUCUCUUGAAGGAUAAGACAGGCAUGGUCAUGUCCCAGGAAGGACACCUAGACCGCAAGAGCAAAUAUCCUGGGGCAGCAAGAAGCGAGAAGUUGGAGAGACCACAAAGAUGGGAAGGACAGAAUGACAGAAGGAACAAGCCAAUUAAUGAGCAUCUGAGGCUGAAAUCACUAGAGAAAGCCUUGCCACAUAAUGCCAUGCCACACAGACACAGAGGCAGUUCUUCCAUAAACGCCAUGCCACACAGACACAGAGGCGGGGCAGGGGCGUUUGGCUUGCUAAUAGGUGUUCCUGCAGUCAGUCCAGACAAGAACUGGAAAGGCAUGGGCUCAUGUUGACUUGAGAAAAUGCUCACAUCCUUCAGGAAUUUUCAAUGGGAACCAGCAUAGAGCUUAAGCCCACUCAGAGGGGCAGAGAAAACUCUAUGGCAAAGUGGACCGUUGGAACUACCAGCCAGCUCAAGUCAAGGACAAGCCAUCCUAGCCAACUGCAGGUCCACUUGAGCAGUGAUUUACGGCCCCGAGACAAUGGCUCUUUAAGAAAAAGACCCUGCACAAGCCAGACAUGUUGUUGCAAGUAUUAGAGCCCAUCCAUCUAUCCGAGUCAUCCUAGGAUCUGGAAAAUGGACCAGGCUGGCAUGAGCUGAAAAUGCCUCCACAUACAUCCUCAUUCAUGAACCAAACGUUUUCUUCCUUGUCUGGAAGCCUACCAGACACCUAUAGUUGUCCAUAGCCCCCCACCGAAGGUCAGUCUCCAAACCAUGCGAAGCAUUCUGUGCCCUUGUGAGAGAUGCAUUUGAGCCAGCACUCUGAAGCUCAUCUUUGUCCCCGAGAGGAUGCUAGACCCUGGCUGCAGAAGCAACAUGCCUGACUCAGCUCUGUGGUCCCAGCAGUUUGGCUGAGAAGCAGUCAAUGAACAUCUGCUGAAGGACAGGACAGACCUCUGGCACUGGAGAUGUUACAGCAAACCCAACUUGAGAAGGAGAAAUGAGAAGACAGGGGAGGGGGAAAACUUAAAAGGUAAUAUUCAUUGUCAAGAGCGGGCUAUGAAUUUAUACUUUAAAACCCCACAUAAAUCUAGUGUUUAUUUAAUCAUGUAUGAGAGCAAUGCAAGAGCACAGAUUCUAGAUAAAAAUGCAAGCCAAAUGUUAGUGGUCAUAUUUCUAUGUGGUUGGCUUAUGUGUGUUCUUAUUUUU